rnacentral:rRNA from 1 species
GACGAACGCUGGCGGCGUGCUUAACACAUGCAAGUCGAACGAAGUGGCGAACGGGUGAGUAAUACGUGAGUAACCUGCCCUCCUUUUUGGGAUAAGCCUUGGAAACGGGGUCUAAUACCUAAUAACGGGGGAUGGGCGCGCGGCCUAUCAGCUUGUUGGUGGGGUGAUGGCCUACCAAGGCGGUGACGGGGAGCCGGCCUGAGGGGUAGACAUGCAACAUUGGGACUGAGAUAAGGCACAGACGAGUACGGGAGGGAGCAGUAGGGAAUCUUCGGCAAUGGACGAAAGACUGAUGCAGCGACGCCGCGUGGGGGAUGAAGACUUUCGGGUUGUAAACCUCGUUCGCUAGCGAACGGGUAGGUGGAGAAGAAGCGCCGGCUAACUACGUGCCAGCAGCCGCGGUAAUUC